rnacentral:rRNA from 1 species
GACGAACGCUGGCGGCGUGCCUAAUACAUGCAAGUAGAACGCUGAAGGAGGAGCUUGCUUCUCUGGAUGAGUUGCGAACGGGUGAGUAACGCGUAGGUAACCUGCCUGGUAGCGGGGGAUAACUAUUGGAAACGAUAGCUAAUACCGCAUAGGAGUAGAUGUCGCAUGACAUUUGCUUAAAAGGUGCAAUUGCAUCACUACCAGAUGGACCUGCGUUGUAUUAGCUAGUUGGUGAGGUAACGGCUCACCAAGGCAACGAUACAUAGCCGACCUGAGAGGGUGAUCGGCCACACUGGGACUGAGACACGGCCCAGACUCCUACGGGAGGCAGCAGUAGGGAAUCUUCGGCAAUGGACGGAAGUCUGACCGAGCAACGCCGCGUGAGUGAAGAAGGGUUUCGGAUCGUAAAGCUCUGUUGUAAGAGAAGAACGAGUGUGAGAGUGGAAAGUUCACACUGUGACGGUAUCUUACCAGAAAGGGACGGCUAACUACGUG